GUCCACGCCCUAAACUAUGAUUACUCGAUGUUGGCGAUACACAGUCAGCGUCUAAGUGAAAACGUUAAGUAAUCCACCUGGGGAGUACGCCCGCAAGGGUGAAACUCAAAGGAAUUGACGGGGGCCGCACAAGCGGAGGAGCAUGUGGUUUAAUUCGAUGAUACGCGAGGAACCUUACCUGGGCUUGAAAGUUAGUGAAUCUCGCAGAAACGCGAGAGACCGAAAGGACACGAAACUAGGUGCUGCAUGGCUGUCGU
rnacentral:rRNA from 1 species